rnacentral:lncRNA from 1 species
UAACUUUGUCUUGGACGUAUCUGUUUGUUCCACAGGAUUCACGUGGGUAAAAUUCGGCCUUCAUUUUAUCUUGCAUACCAAACAAGCUUCUAUAAAACCUAAUAUUUCAAAUAUCUUCAAAUCCUUAUAUUGCAGUUCAUGGCAUGAUGACUUAUUAAUCAUUUGGAGGCUGUUUACGAACACUUGUAUGGGGGGAGGCAUGGGAA